rnacentral:rRNA from 1 species
UCGAGCGAACGGACGAGAAGCUUGCUUCUCUGAUGUUAGCGGCGGACGGGUGAGUAACACGUGGAUAACCUACCUAUAAGACUGGGAUAACUUCGGGAAACCGGAGCUAAUACCGGAUAAUAUUUUGAACCGCAUGGUUCAAAAGUGAAAGACGGUCUUGCUGUCACUUAUAGAUGGAUCCGCGCUGCAUUAGCUAGUUGGUAAGGUAACGGCUUACCAAGGCAACGAUGCAUAGCCGACCUGAGAGGGUGAUCGGCCACACUGGAACUGAGACACGGUCCAGACUCCUACGGGAGGCAGCAGUAGGGAAUCUUCCGCAAUGGGCGAAAGCCUGACGGAGCAGCGCCGCGUGAGUGAUGGAGGUCUUCGGAUCGUAAAACUCCGUUAUUAGGGAAGAACAUAUGUGUAAGUAACUAUGCACAUCUUGACGGUACCUAAUCAGAAAGCCACGGCUAACUACGUGCCAGCAGCCGCGGUAAUACGUAGGUGGCAAGCGUUAUCCGGAAUUAUUGGGCGUAAAGCGCGCGUAGGCGGUUUUUUAAGUCUGAUGUGAAAGCCCACGGCUCAACCGUGGAGGGUCAUUGGAAACUGGAAAACUUGAGUGCAGAAGAGGAAAGUGGAAUUCCAUGUGUAGCGGUGAAAUGCGCAGAGAUAUGGAGGAACACCAGUGGCGAAGGCGACUUU